GACGAACGCUGGCGGCGUGCUUAACACAUGCAAGUCGAGCGGUAAGGCCCUUUCGGGGGUACACGAGCGGCGAACGGGUGAGUAACACGUGGGUGACCUGCCCUCAGCUCUGGGAUAAGCCUGGGAAACCGGGUCUAAUACCGGAUAUGACUCCAUGACGCAUGUUGUGGGGUGGAAAGCCUUGUGCGGCUGAGGAUGGGCCCGCGGCCUAUCAGCUUGUUGGUGGGGUGAUGGCCUACCAAGGCGACGACGGUAGCCGGCCUGAGAGGCGACCGGCCACACUGGGACUGAGACACGGCCCAGACUCCUACGGGAGGCAGCAGUGGGGAAUCUUGCGCAAUGGGCGAAAGCCUGACGCAGCGACGCCGCGUGAGGGAUGACGGCCUGG
rnacentral:rRNA from 1 species